AAUGAAACCAGAUAUGACUUAGUGGCGGACGGGUGAGUAACACGUGAGCAACCUGCCUUUCAGAGGGGGAUAACGGCUGGAAACGGUCGCUAAUACCGCAUGACGUGUUCGGAUGGCAUCAUCUGAACAUCAAAGAUUUAUCGCUGAAAGAUGGGCUCGCGUCUGAUUAGCUGGUUGGUGAGGUAACGGCCCACCAAGGCGACGAUCAGUAGCCGGACUGAGAGGUUAACCCCCACACUGGUACUGAGACACGGACCAGACUCC
rnacentral:rRNA from 1 species